UGGACUUUGGACUCCACCAGAAAUACUCAGGGAUAAUGCUAUAUUGGACUCCUUCCUGGAGGAGGUCAGCACCUAAUGGAGAAUAUGGCAACUUCACAUUCCUACAAUUGGACAUUGGUUCCUUUGUCACAUGAUAAACUAUGUCAUAACAGAAAAAUCCCUGUGAAGUUCUCCAAAGAAUGCUAUGCUACUUCCAGACCCUGCAACUAUAAUUAUGCCUUGCAUAAUUAAGCCAGAAAGAACAUCCCCUGCCAACUCUAAGCACCCCUGUUUACAUCAAAAAGCAAUAGCAAAAUGUACUCUAGAAGGUUCUGGCCAAAGUAAUUGAGUGGGCUGCCUGAGCCUAGCGCUGCUUUCUAAAUAUUGUCCCUGGGUUAGGAACUGGAGGGACAAGGAGGGAGGGAAGCACGUAGGAGAAUGCGCCAG
ensembl:lncRNA